GGAAAUAAAAGUCGUAACAAGGUUUCCGUAGGUGAACCUGCGGAAGGAUCAUUACUGAGUGAGGGCCCCUCGGGGUCCAACCUCCCACCCGUGUUUAACGAACCUUGUUGCUUCGGCGGGCCCGCCUCACGGCCGCCGGGGGGCAUCUGCCCCCGGGCCCGCGCCCGCCGAAGCCACCUGUGAACGCUGUCUGAAGUAUGCAGUCUGAGACAAUUAUUAAAUUAAUUAAAACUUUCAACAACGGAUCUCUUGGUUCCG
rnacentral:misc_RNA from 1 species